GACGAACGCUGGCGGCGUGCCUAAUACAUGCAAGUUGAGCGCUGAAGGUUGGUACUUGUACCGACUGGAUGAGCAGCGAACGGGUGAGUAACGCGUGGGGAAUCUGCCUUUGAGCGGGGGACAACAUUUGGAAAGGAAUGCUAAUACCGCAUAAAAACUUUAAACACAAGUUUUAAGUUUGAAAGAUGCAAUUGCAUCACUCAAAGAUGAUCCCGCGUUGUAUUAGCUAGUUGGUGAGGUAAAGGCUCACCAAGGCGAUGAUACAUAGCCGACCUGAGAGGGUGAUCGGCCACAUUGGGACUGAGACACGGCCCAAACUCCUACGGGAGGCAGCAGUAGGGAAUCUUCGGCAAUGGACGAAAGUCUGACCGAGCAACGCCGCGUGAGUGAAGAAGGUUUUCGGAUCGUAAAACUCUGUUGGUAGAGAAGAACGUUGGUGAGAGUGGAAAGCUCAUCAAGUGACGGUAACUACCCAGAAAGGGACGGCUAACUACGUG
rnacentral:rRNA from 1 species